rnacentral:lncRNA from 1 species
UGUGCAUCAUAUUUGAUUUCUUUUAAUGAACUAUACGAGGCAUGUGUUCAAUAGAAUUUCUUGUUUUAUUUGAUAUCUACAUGGGAACCUCAAUUGAAGGGAUUUUCUGAAAUUGAAACAAUAUAGUACCCAAUCAGUGCCCAAAUUAUUUUACUCAAAUAGUAUAAUAUGAUUUUCUUUAUAUAACGAAACGGGCUCCCAAAUGUAAUUGUAGAUUCAUCUCAUCUUGACUAGAAAUGAUCUUGAGC